rnacentral:tRNA from 1 species
AGGAGUUUAGGUUAGCCCAGACCAAGAGCCUUCAAAGCUCUAAGCAAAUAUUAAUUAUUUAACUCCUG